UGGGUUGACCGUCAAAUCCUUUUCAUUAAAAGAGUGGA
rnacentral:rRNA from 1 species